CCAGAACGCACCUCAUCUCAGACUGAUAGAUGCCGGACCUGAAAAGCAUUGGGUUUCUUCCUUUGUAGCUGAAGGUUACGGUUCCCCCGAAGUAAUGUGAUGCAGACGCCAGUGAGACCAGCAGCAGUGGAAGCAGGAGCAGCGGUGUGGAAGCCAUGAUGCACCAAACUCACCUCUGUCUCCAGAUUCUCUGCCUGUCACAUCCACCUGCAGCAUCUUUAUAUACAGUCACAUGCUACUGGACUUCCAGGUGUUGCAGCCUGACCCUCAACACUGGACCCCCC